rnacentral:rRNA from 1 species
UACAGAGAGUGCGAACGUUGUUCGGAAUUACUGGGCUUAAAGCGCACGUAGGCGGCGCCACAAGUGCGGGGUGAAAUCCCACGGCUUACCCGUGGAACUGCCUUGUAGACUGUGGUGCUCGAGGAUGGUAGGGGAGAGCGGAACUCCUGGUGGAGCGGUGAAAUGCGUAGAUAUCAGGAGGAACACCGGUGGCGAAGGCGGCUCUCUGGUCCAUUUCUGACGCUAAGGUGCGAAAGCUAGGGGAGCAAACGGG